rnacentral:rRNA from 1 species
GGCCUUGACAUACUAAGAACUUUCCAGAGAUGGAUUGGUGCCUUCGGGAACUUAGAUACAGGUGCUGCAUGGCUGUCGUCAGCUCGUGUCGUGAGAUGUUGGGUUAACGUCCGCAACGAGCGCAACCCUUUUCCUUAUUUGCCAGCGGGUCAUGCCGGGAACUUUAAGGAUACUGCCAGUGACAAACUGGAGGAAGGCGGGGACGACGUCAAGUCAUCAUGGCCCUUACGGCCAGGGCUACACACGUGCUACAAUGGUCGGUACAAAGGGUUGCUACCUCGCGAGAGGAUGCUAAUCUCAAAAAGCCGAUCGUAGUCCGGAUCGCAGUCUGCAACUCGACUGCGUGAAGUCGGAAUCGCUAGUAAUCGCGGAUCAGAAUGCCGCGGUGAAUACGUUCCCGGGCCUUGUACACACCGCCCGUCACACCAUGGGAGUUUGUUGCACCAGAAGUAGGUAGUCUAACCGCAAGGAGGACGCUUACCACGGUGUGGCCGAUGACUGGGGUGAAGUCGUAACAAGGUAAGCGUACUACA